CCCGCAUGCUGUUCUCAUGAUAGUGAGUUCUCACGAGAUCUGUUGGUUUUAUAAGGGGCUCUCCCCCCUUCAAUGGGUACUUCUCCUUCCUGCCACCUUGUGAAGAAGGUGCCUUGCUUCCCCUUCCACCAUGAUUGUAAGUUUCCUGAGGCCUCCCCAGCCAUGCUAUACUGUGAGCCAAUUAAACCCCUUUCCUUUAUAAAUUAUUCAGUCUCGGGUAGUUCCUUAUAGCAGUACAGAAAUUGACUAAUACAGAUAUGCCCAAAUUAAUAAAAAUGAUGCAAACCAAUAAUUGUGUGGCCACUAAAAUCUUUACUUAACUGGCAUCACACUCUUUACUUAUGUUAAAGGAAUAAAUUGCAUGCAUUAGUUAUCUAUUGCUGUGUAGAAAUUCCCCCACUGCAGCAAUGUAACACAACACACACCUAUUAUCUCAACGAAUCCGUGAGUCGGGAGUCCAGCGACAGACUUGCCGGCUCUCCUGCUGGGGUCUCACAAGGCGGUCGCCAGGUUAUGUCCAGGGUGGGUUCUCAUGCGGAGUCUGACUGGGGGAGCGUGCAUGCCCCUGCUCGCAUGUGUUUGGUAACACUCAGCUCCUUUCAGUUGUAGGAUCUGUGGCAGCUGCUGGCUUCUUCAGAGCCAGUGAGGGAGACAGCGAGUCUCCCCAAAAGACAGUCCUGUGUGAUGUGAGUCAUCCCCAGAGUGACAUCCCAUCACCUUUGCUGUAGCCGUUGGUUAGAAGUCAGUCACCAGUCCUUCUCUGUGACUCAGGGGAGAUGACUACAUAAAAGGCAGUUACACCUGGAGGCACCUGGGAGUCUGCCACACGCCCCCCUGCCUCCCUCGCAUGUGCAAAAGUCAUUCACCUGCUCUAGGUACCUAAGAUUUUCGGAGCUUCAUGGCAUCAGCUCAAAGCCUGAAAUGUCAACAUCUAAAUCAGGUCAAAGGUCAGUGGAGGGUCAUGGUGCAAUCAUUCGGUUCAGGUUCUGGGACACAAUUCCUCUCCAUGGAUGGGCCCGGGAAGCUAAAGAGAUUAGUGACCUGUCCCGUGGUGGAGCAGGCACCAGAUGCAGCUGUAGACAUUUCAGUUUUCAAGGGGAGGAAAUGGCAGAUAAAAGGCAUCUUGACUGUGUAGCAAUUCCAAAUCCAGAAAAGUAAAGGUUGGGAGUUCUCAGUCAGGUUUCCAGGGCUGGGGAGAAUUCUCCUGGCUUCUGGAUUCCCUGUCUGGGCUCUUGGUCCCCGCAUCUACACUGCACUUGUUUGGAAGGAAAGGUUGCCCAUGUUUGCAGCUGAGGAGCUUUUUAGCCUACUUCCAGCCAGCAAAAUCUGGGGAGUCUGGCAGCCUCCUUUCAUCCUGUGCUCUCUCUGUUCCUUCCCACCCAGGCUGGCAGUGUUUCUGUGAAAGUGAUUUCCUCAAAAUCUUUGUCUCUCAUGGAUUUCACCUGGGUCUACUCCAUGAGCCGAAGGCCUCACCUGCCGAUGUUUUUGAGGCAAGCCUUUUCUAUCUUUGAGUCCUGCCGAGGUGACUCGGAGUCAACGCCCUUCGGCUCCUCAGGGGCUCCCUGGUUCGAUCCAUGAGGCUCAGCCCUGACCUCUCUAAGGCACCCUUGGUGGGGCAGAAUGCUGAGGCUAUGAUCUUUCUGAGGCCUUAUCCAAAGGCUGUGCAGACACAGCCCAGCCACCUGGGCUCCUGGGCUUACACUGUCUUGACAGCACCAUCUCUUGCUAUCUGGAGAGGCCGACGCCUCAAUUCUGGACGUCUGGACCCAAACCGUGAGACAUAAACUUCUGUG
rnacentral:lncRNA from 1 species